AUCGACUCGAAUAGAUUUGCGUUUUAAUACUGAAGGGUUUUUCGAUUUAAGAUCUUUAUCCCUAAUCAUGUUGCACUGCUCCACUUACUCCAUAAUCCUGUUCGCUCAAGCAUCUCCAUCCAUCAUAAUCCCGGUGAUUAUCUUAAAUCAAUAGUAAUUUGGCACGAAGACCUGCAAAAUAAGACCGACCAGACAAAAACAAAACCAAGAACCGAAUGGAUAUUUAUUUUGAGGCCGACUGAAUUUUACAGUGGCGCACCUGGUGAACGAGUAUUCAGU